GGUUGACGGGAGCUUGCUCCCUGAUUCAGCGGCGGACGGGUGAGUAAUGCCUAGGAAUCUGCCUAUUAGUGGGGGACAACGUUUCGAAAGGAACGCUAAUACCGCAUACGUCCUACGGGAGAAAGCAGGGGACCUUCGGGCCUUGCGCUAAUAGAUGAGCCUAGGUCGGAUUAGCUAGUUGGUGAGGUAAUGGCUCACCAAGGCGACGAUCCGUAACUGGUCUGAGAGGAUGAUCAGUCACACUGGAACUGAGACACGGUCCAGACUCCUACGGGAGGCAGCAGUGGGGAAUAUUGGACAAUGGGCGAAAGCCUGAUCCAGCCAUGCCGCGUGUGUGAAGAAGGUCUUCGGAUUGUAAAGCACUUUAAGUUGGGAGGAAGGGUUGUAGAUUAAUACUCUGCAGUUUUGACGUUACCGACAGAAUAAGCACCGGCUAACUCUGUGCCAGCAGCCGCGGUAAUACAGAGGGUGCAAGCGUUAAUCGGAAUUACUGGGCGUAAAGCGCGCGUAGG
rnacentral:rRNA from 1 species